rnacentral:rRNA from 1 species
GGGUCAGUAGGUUGGUCGUGCCACCGGUACGUACUGGUCUCACUGAUUCCUCCUUCCUGAAGAACCGUAAUGCCAUUAAUCUGGUGUUGCGGGGAAACAGGACUGUUACUUUGAAAAAAUUAGAGUGUUUAAAACAAGCUAACGCUUGAAUACAUUAGCAUGGAAUAAUGAAAUAGGACGAUCGAUCCUAUUUUGUUGGUUUCUAGGAUUGACGUA